AGAGUUUGAUUCUGGCUCAGAACGAACGCUGGCGGCGUGGAUAAGACAUGCAAGUCGAACGAGAGAAUUGCUAGCUUGCUAAUAAUUCUCUAGUGGCGCACGGGUGAGUAACACGUGAGUAACCUGCCCCCGAGAGCGGGAUAGCCCUGGGAAGCUGGGAUUAAUACCGCAUAGUAUCGAAAGAUUAAAGCAGCAAUGCGCUUGGGGAUGGGCUCGCGGCCUAUUAGUUAGUUGGUGAGGUAACGGCUCACCAAGGCGAUGACGGGUAGCCGGUCUGAGAGGAUGUCCGGCCACACUGGAACUGAGACACGGUCCAGACACCUACGGGUGGCAGCAGUCGAGAAUCAUUCACAAUGGGGGAAACCCUGAUGGUGCGACGCCGCGUGGGGGAAUGAAGGUCUUCGGAUUGUAAACCCCUGUCAUGUGGGAGCAAAUUAAAAAGAUAGUACCACAAGAGGAAGAGACGGCUAACUCUGUGCCAGCAGCCGCGGUAAUACAGAGGUCUCAAGCGUUGUUCGGAAUCACUGGGCGUAAAGCGUGCGUAGGCUGUUUCGUAAGUCGUGUGUGAAAGGCGCGGGCUCAACCCGCGGACGGCACAUGAUACUGCGAGACUAGAGUAAUGGAGGGGGAACCGGAAUUCUCGGUGUAGCAGUGAAAUGCGUAGAUAUCGAGAGGAACACUCGUGGCGAAGGCGGGUUCCUGGACAUUAACUGACGCUGAGGCACGAAGGCCAGGGGAGCGAAAGGGAUUAGAUACCCCUGUAGUCCUGGCAGUAAACGGUGCACGCUUGGUGUGCGGGGAAUCGACCCCCUGCGUGCCGGAGCUAACGCGUUAAGCAUCCCGCCUGGGGAGUACGGUCGCAAGAUUAAAACUCAAAGAAAUUGACGGGGACCCGCACAAGCGGUGGAGUAUGUG
rnacentral:rRNA from 1 species